UGUGGAGUUCGAUUUUUGAUCUCCUAUUUGAAGGUAGUUCUUUGAUUGAAGGAAUGAAGAGCAGACAUGAGGAUACAUCACCAUGAUGAAGAACUUCCUUCAGUGGCAUACUCAUUCAAAUGGUGAGCUUGUUCAAGGAAUGACUGACACACUGAUCCAGAAAGCUGUCACAUUUUGCAUUAGGGAACAAACACUGGCUUAAUUGCCUUAUUGUUUCCAUUGUUGAACACAUUUUUUCUAUUUUGAUAAUUCAUAGUUUCUUUUACUGCUACAAGAUAAGAAAUUGAAUGUAUUAAGAUUGUUUGUUCUUAUUUUAAGUGAAUGACAUUGUUUUGAGUUU